rnacentral:lncRNA from 1 species
CUCAAUAUUUUGUUCUGCAAAAGAAAUUACAGUUAGGAUAAGGUAAAAAUAUUAAAUAAACAACGAAGGGGAGGCGGCGCAGAAAAAUCUCGAAUCUCCUAAUAGACUUUGGACAAACAGAAGAAUCGUUCGACAAUCAAGAGCUGAAGACAUCUUGCCCUGCAAAAAGACAAUGAAAUAAUCAUGUUAAAUGAAAGGAAGGUGGCUUUUCUGAUGACAUAACAUGCACUAUUUUUCAUUGAAAGACUACAGGCAAAGGAAUUGGAUUCCUGUGAUACUCUGCAAAAAAUUAAUGUAAGAAGCCGGUAAAUAAAAGUUUAAUAAGGAGACACAUGAUCAAACACCAAUCAAACAUGAAGAAUUUUGUACCACGGAUAUUUUUACAGAGAGAAAUUGCUUCUCCGCAAUUCAUUUCUUCCUCUAUCUUUAAUAGAUUUAUUCUCCGUCCUGGCUGUAAUUGGAAUUGAAGACCUCAAGGUUUUGGUUGAAACGCUAAUAUGUUUAAUUCUUUCACCCCUGUUGAUUUAU